rnacentral:lncRNA from 1 species
AUGCUACCCCUAUAUCGAGAGAUGCUAACCAAAUGCCCAGUGCCAAGUGUAACGACUUAAAAAACUUCAUCCAAAAUAACUAGUUGAAAGGUAUUUUUUUCGAUUUCUUAGUCUUGUAUAAGUACCCAAGAUCUUCUAGACAAAUAACCAAUGUGAGACUAAACACACGUCCGCAUAGAUUCUCACAUACUUCUCCUAUUCAAGUGCUAAGGAUUCAAAUCUAUUCAAAUCUAAUCACAAGUACCACGAUAGGUCUGUGGUCAGCCUCUAUGAACCUAUGUUGUAGUGUUCCCUAGUCUACAUGGGUUAUAGGCUAGAUCUUUUAUGAUACCAUUUUAUAACAAUCCAGAAUCUUAUCCAAAAUAGCUAGUUGGAAGCUAUUUUUUGAUUUCUUGAUCUUGUGUAAGUACCCAAGAUUUUUUAGUCGAAUAACUGAUAUGAGAUUAAAUAUAUGUCCGCACAAGUUCUCACAGCAAGUGUUAUGGCGGCAUCAAUUAUACAGUCCACGAGAGAGGAAAAAAAUAGUACUAAAGUUGAGGAGUUUUCUUUUCAUUUCAUUUCGACAUGAAAGGAGCUGCAAACUAUGUGUC